AAACUGCAAGCAGCCAAUGUGCCAUGGGAAGCUGAUGAGCAUCCUUGUUAAACAUUGGAACUAAAAAGUAAAACGGAAAGAUGUAAACAAUGAUAGAAAAUGUUCAAACUCAAACUUGGAAAGCUUGAUGCCAUCAUAUUGGAGUAGUUUUAUGUCUUUCUCUCUCUCACCAAAGAAUGUUUGUCUGCCCAGCUCUGCCUAUAAUUUCUGGUAGAACUACUUGUUUCCAAGCAGUUUUGUAACCUCCAGAUUGGUGACAAUUUUUAGUUGAAGUCAUCUUCCACAGUUCAGAGAAUUGUUUAGUUGAAGUAGGUAAGAGAUUAGUUUUGUAUGCAUUAUACUGUGGAUUAUUUUUAUAUAGUAGAUUAGGGAAUUGUUGGGGGGAU